UACGGAGGGUGCGAGCGUUGUCCGGAAUCACUGGGCGUAAAGGGCGCGUAGGCGGCAGGCCAAGCGUGCGGUGAAAGUCCGGGGCUCAACCCCGGAUCCGCCGUGCGGACUGGUUUGCUAGAGCACUGUAGAGGCGAGUGGAAUUCCGGGUGUAGCGGUGGAAUGCGUAGAGAUCCGGAAGAACACCGGUGGCGAAGGCAGCUCGCUGGGACGUGACUGACGCUGAGACGCGAAAGCGUGGGGAGCAAACAGG
rnacentral:rRNA from 1 species